rnacentral:lncRNA from 1 species
GAAAGGGAACAUGAAAAAGAUGGGAAUGUCCCUGGAUAUAGGCAGCUCCAGAGAGGGAGACAGUCUGUCCUUGAAUCAUUACUAUUAUCCCUGCACAAUUUUCUUGGAUUUGGAGAAAGCUAUAGGUAAUAUACAGGUGAAUAUUUCUCAGAUUAUUUCUGUUGUUCUUUUUGGAAGGCUCUGCAUGCCAAGCUCAAAAAAUCAUCCAUAUCAAAGUUGAAGCCAGAGCAGACAAUGGCCCACUGGUGGGGUCAAGCCAUUUAAAC